rnacentral:rRNA from 1 species
UGGGGAAUAUUGCACAAUGGGCGCAAGCCUGAUGCAGCCAUGCCGCGUGUGUGAAGAAGGCCUUCGGGUUGUAAAGCACUUUCAGCGGGGAGGAAGGCGGUGAGGUUAAUAACCUCAUCGAUUGACGUUACCCGCAGAAGAAGCACCGGCUAACUCCGUGCCAGCAGCCGCGGUAAUACGGAGGGUGCAAGCGUUAAUCGGAAUUACUGGGCGUAAAGCGCACGCAGGCGGUCUGUCAAGUCGGAUGUGAAAUCCCCGGGCUCAACCUGGGAAUUGCAUCUGAUACUGGUCAGCUAGAGUCUUGUAGAGGGGGGUAGAAUUCCAUGUGUAGCGGUGAAAUGCGUAGAGAUGUGGAGGAAUACCGGUGGCGAAGGCGGCCCCCUGGACAAAGACUGACGCUCAGGUGCGAAAGCGUGGGGAGCAAACAGG